rnacentral:rRNA from 1 species
GUGCCAGCAGCCGCGGUAAGACGAAGGGGGCUAGCGUUGUUCGGAAUUACUGGGCGUAAAGCGCGCGUAGGCGGCUCUUCAAGUCAGGCGUGAAAGCCCCGGGCUUAACCCGGGAAUAGCGCUUGAUACUGUUGGGCUUGAGUCCGGGAGAGGAUAGUGGAAUUCCCAGUGUAGAGGUGAAAUUCGUAGAUAUUGGGAAGAACACCAGUGGCGAAGGCGGCUAUCUGGACCGGAACUGACGCUGAGGCGCGAAAGCGUGGGGAGCAAACAGGAUUAGAUACCCUGGUAGUCC